rnacentral:rRNA from 1 species
GUCUAUGGCCAUACCACCCUGAACGUGCCCCAUCUCGUCUGAUCUUGGAAGCUAAGCAGGGUCGGGCCUGGUUAGUACUUGGAUGGGUGACCAUAUGCUUUCAGAUAUCACCCCCAUGGUCU